UACGAAGGGGGCUAGCGUUGCUCGGAAUUACUGGGCGUAAAGCGCACGUAGGCGGCUUCUUAAGUCGGAGGUGAAAUCCUGGAGCUCAACUCCAGAACUGCCUUCGAUACUGGGAGCUCGAGUCCGGGAGAGGUGAGUGGAACUGCGAGUGUAGAGGUGAAAUUCGUAGAUAUUCGCAAGAACACCAGUGGCGAAGGCGGCUCACUGGCCCGGUACUGACGCUGAGGUGCGAAAGCGUGGGGAGCAAACAGG
rnacentral:rRNA from 1 species